CUACAACUGCUGCGCCUGCACUACAACUGCUGCGGUUGCAACUACAACUGCUGCGGUUGCAACUACAACUGCUGCGCCUGCAACUACAACUGCUGUGCCUGCAGCUACAACUGCUGCGGUUGCAACUACAUCUGCUGCGCCUGCAACUACAACUGCUUGCGCCUGCAGCUACAACUGCUGGCGCCUGCAGCUACAACUGCUGCAACUGCAACUACUGCACCUGCAGCUACAACUGCUGCAACUGCGGCUACAACUGCUUGCCCUGCAGCUACAACUGCUGCACCUGCGGCUACAACUGCUGCGCCUGCAGCUACAACUGUAGCACCUGUCACUGCUGCACCUGCAGCUACAACUGCUGCACCUGCCACUGCUGCACCUGCAGCUACAACUGCUGCACCUGCGGCUACAACUGCUGUGCCUGCAGCUACAACUGUAAGCACCUGCCACUGCUGCACCUGCAACUACAACUACUGCAGUUACAUUGUAAUUGUAACUUUCAGAUCUGUUCUUCAAAAUUUUACAAAUGAUUUGUUGGAUCCAUCAUCUGCAGCUUUUCAAAGGCGAUCAUCAAUGAUAAAGACACAGCUGGAACCUGAGUUAAGAGGGAAUUCCCAUCAUUUCAGAGACUUGUUGUGAAUAGCUUCAGAAGUGGAUCCAUCAUCAAUAACAUGGCCCUUGGAUUUGAUAGCGCAUCUGUUCCUAAUAACACUCAGAUUGCAGCAGUUUUAGUAAAUGCAGCUCCUAGUGUCACUGGCUUUGAUAUUGAAGGAACCUCUAUCAUCGUUAAUGGCAUAUCUUCAAGUGGAGUAAGCCAGAAGAUCAGUCUCAUCACUGCAUUCUGCCUGGUACUGUUGUCAUGGCUUCUGUCAAACCAGCAAUAGCACCAGUGCUGAUUAACAUGUCUUUCUGGUUUAAAACAUAUCUCUGUGUGGGAGAGUCCAAGAUCCUGGGCUGGACAGAAAGACACAGUCUACUUUAAACAGCUGGUCUAAUGAAUAUUAGAAUUAUGAGCAGCACUUUAUGCUUUCUUUGUAAUGUCAGAAAAUAAUUUCACUAUUUAUUAACAACUGCAUCCUGAUAAACUAAGCACUGUAAUAUUUGAACAAGUGACGGUUAACAGUUCUGUCUUGUUAAGUCUUGUUCGUCAAACAAGUAAAAACAGCCACAUUACAAAGUCAAAAUGUAAAACCACUUUCAUCACUAUUGAAAUUUGUGGCUUUUUUUAAACAAGCAGGUUGGAAACUAUUGAAAGACUACAAGCUGGACUUUUAGUAAAGACCAUCUCCUUCCAAAGAACAAUGGGCAUUUUGUACUUUGGACAAAAAAAAAUCUUAAUUUGUACUUGGUUUUUAAAUAACUCGUCAUGUUUUAGGCUUUCAAUAGUCUCCAGGGGAAUGUAAGAUUCAUGGUUAGCUCAUGAGUAUUAUUGAAUGAAGGGAUCAACUGUUGUUUAUCAAUAUACACAUGCAUGUUGAUAAUUUGCUGCAUACCCUGACCUUUAGUUAUAUAUUUACUAUUUUUAAGGGAAAUAUAUAUGGAAAGAAAAUGCACUUUCAAUUUAUUUAUAGAAACUGUAUUAUGUAAUCCUGUAUUCUGUGAGUCUUUUUGAUGUUUGUACAGAAC